AGAGUUUGAUCCUGGCUCAGGAUGAACGCUGGCGGCGUGCUUAACACAUGCAAGUCGAACGAUGAAGGAGGAGCUUGCUCCUCUGGAUUAGUGGCGAACGGGUGAGUAACACGUGAGCAAUCUGCCCCUGACUCUGGGAUAAGCGUUGGAAACGACGUCUAAUACCGGAUACGAGCUGAGAAGGCAUCUUCAGCAGCUGGAAAGAACUUCGGUCAGGGAUGAGCUCGCGGCCUAUCAGGUAGUUGGUGAGGUAACGGCUCACCAAGCCUACGACGGGUAGCCGGCCUGAGAGGGUGACUGGCCACACUGGGACUGAGACACGGCCCAGACUCCUACGGGAGGCAGCAGUGGGGAAUAUUGCACAAUGGGCGAAAGCCUGAUGCAGCAACGCCGCGUGAGGGACGAAGGCCUUCGGGUCGUAAACCUCUUUUAGCAGGGAAGAAGCGAAAGUGACGGUACCUGCAGAAAAAGCACCGGCUAACUACGUG
rnacentral:rRNA from 1 species